rnacentral:rRNA from 1 species
UACGACUACAUAUCAGGCAUAUCAAUAAGCGGAGGAAAAGAAACUAACAAGGAUUCCCUUAGUACGGCGAGUGAAGCGGGAAGAGCUCAAAUUUGAAAUCUUCAAGGUUUUACCUUGACGAAUUGUAGUUUAAAGAAGUGUUUUCUGUUGAAAUUUUCGGUAAAAGUUCUUUGGAAUAGGACAUCAUAGAGGGUGAGAAUCCCGUAUUUGACCAUUAUUUUCAGCUGUGUGAUACACUUUCAAAGAGUCGGAUUGUUUGGGAAUGCAGUCCAAAAUGGGUGGUAAAUUUCAUCUAAAGCUAAAUAUUGGCGAGAGACCGAUAGCGAACAAGUACCGUGAGGGAAAGAUGAAAAGAACUUUGAAAAGAGAGUUAAACAGUACGUGAAAUUGUCAAAAGGGAAGCGUUUGACACCAGUGUUGUUUUCUCGAAAAUCAAUUAAAAAAGUCGGGAUUUUGUGUUGUAUUGACCUUAAUCAGCUUUCUGCACUCUUUUCUUGUCUUUUUUAAUGCACUUUUCCGUUUAACAAGUCAACAUCAAUUUCUUUUGUUGUAAAAGGGUCAUUGGAAGGUGGCUUUCUCUUCGGAGAAAGUGUUUAUAGCCUUUGAUCUCUGCAAUCGGAGAGACUGAGGUCUGCAGCGUAGAUCCUUCGGGGUUAGAUACAUUUGUGCUAAGCUACAGGCUUUUCAUAGACAACUUGUUGACUAUGUUUAGUCUUGUGACUUACCCGCUUAUGCUAUUUUACCUACGCUUAGGAUGUUGAGCGCAUGUCUCUCUCU